CAGUUCAGCAUGGUAGAUAUGUUUAAUGACUUCACAUAAGAGAGUACAACAUACAGAUACAUCUGAUAACCCAAUACAAUGUAAGACCAAUACAUGACAUCCCCCUUUUUUGAAAAGAGUUAUUUUGUAAGUUUGCUGUUCAACUCAAAUUAAAUUAAAUUAAAUUACAGUUCUCUCUUUAAGAAUAAAGUCUGAUUCAAUGUGUGCAAUAUAGAUAAAGUUCUACUGGAUUUCACUGUUAAAGUUUAAGUUGUCACAUCUUCAUUAUUGUUAAUAAAGUUCUAAUGGAUUUCACUCAUG
rnacentral:lncRNA from 1 species